AGGUCACGUAAAAUAGAAACUGAAGGGACUUUUUCAAAAUCUACUCUAAGAAAACCCUAACUCGCUCACUCAAGCAGAACGGAAAAAGAAAAAAAUUUCAUUGAAGAAGCUACAACGAUUCGGUAAGUCGAUAAUCAAUUGUUAUACUUUAGAAAGCUUUGGUGUUUCUCUCCCUGUUGGCGUUUUUUUUUUCUUUUGUUUUUCUGUUGUAAAUUUUCUUUGGAUGUUUAGGUAUUGGGAGACUCCUUUGUUCCCUUUGGCUACUUUCUUUUCCUUCUUUUUGCUUCUUCUCUUGUACUU
rnacentral:lncRNA from 1 species